rnacentral:tRNA from 1 species
GGAGGGGUGCGUGAGCGGUUGAAACGGGCAGUCUUGAAAACUGCUGUGGGCCUCGUGUCCACCGUGAGUUCGAAUCUCACCCCCUCCGCCA